AACGCACCUUGCGCUCUCUGGUAUUCCGGAGAGCACGUCUGUCUGAGUGUCGCUUUACUCUCAACACUGGAGUUUUCUUUCGGGGGAACUCUGGGGUUGGAUCUUGAGCGUUGCCGGGUCCUUAUGGAUCGUUGGCUCGCUUUAAAAGUCUGGAUUGUGUCUUCGAGGUCGUUAAUCCUAGUCGACGUGUAAUUAAUUAUCGUUGGCGUUAUGGAGGCUUCUUAUGGACCUUUCCCCCCAUAAUAUGUUCACUCGUGAACUAUUUGAUCUUUUGACCUCAGAUCAGGCGGGACUACCCGCUGAACUUAA
rnacentral:rRNA from 1 species